rnacentral:lncRNA from 1 species
GAAAGGCCCUGUGCCCAGCCCCCGUCUGGCUGAAGGAGAGAGACCACGCCAGAGAGAGCUGAGCAGAAGAGGAGGCCACCGGGCAUGGGGGACCAACUCUAGGAGCUGCCAGCACCUACCACCGCAGGUUCCCAAGCUGUUCCUCUGCUCUGCACAGCCAGGAGCGGAGCCAGCCAAGGAGCGAGACUGGAGUCAAACCGAGAUCCAGAUGCCACGCUGGAAGCAGGAGAGGAGCUGUGGCCAGCGCUUGGCAUUUGGGGCAGCAGCUCAGCCAGCCUGGCUCCCGGGAGGAGCCUCGAGGAGGAGCCUGCUCCUGGAGCAGACAGAUAAAGAGGUGCCGGCCGAGGAAAACAUCACUACAGUCCAAACGGCAGCUGUUUCUUUGGGCGAUUAGAAUUGCAAUUCGGGAGACACAGAUGCAGUGCAUGACUUUGGUCCUCCUGGCCAAAAGAUGGCUGCUGCAGCUCCAGGGUCUGCUCCUAUAUUUCAGCUAGGAAGGAAGAAGAGUGAAGGAAUUAAGGGGAACAAAGACCAACAGAGAAGAGACGGUCAGGCCCCAGGCUAGACUCAGAGACAAUGCCUGCCGCUUGGAGACAGCUGGGAUAUAUUCUCAAUCAAGGCCUCAUGGAUUUGUGCCUGAAUUCUGGAGGAUGGAGACCCCAAGGAGAAAGCAGGGAAGCAAUUUCACUGAGUCUCUGAAGUGUGUUGGGAGAUGAGGUGGCCCCUGGGGGUGGAGAGUGACCUGCUCCAUGUGGAUUCACAGUUGGGGGCCCUGGAAGUGGAGUGAAGUGGGAAGGGAAAUCCCUGUGAGAGCCUCAGCACCAGUAGUUCCCAGCACCCGUGGAGUGACACGAAGGAGCCUAUGAGCAGCAGUGACCUUGGCUCAGACAUCGGAGCCAUUGGUGGCAGCUGGAGCUGGUGCAAGAGAGAUUCUCAUGCAGUUGGAAGAAUGACUAUGGAGAGUUUCCAUGUACACUUUAUUCAGUUUUCUCCAAUGGUAACGUUUUGGAAAAUGAUAGUACGAUAGCAUUACCAAGAAAUUGACAUUGAUACCGUCCUCUGAGCUCAGACUCAGAUUACAUAUGCAGAUGUCGUCUUCAGGUCUGGAUGGUGAGCCCUUUGAAGUCAGACUCUCGCUGUCCUGCCAGCCUCCUCCUCCUGGAGAGACCCAACCCAUCCUUUGCGAGAGAUGAAGAGAAGCUGAGGAGUUGAAGAAAGGAGAAUUUGAGGAAUUUAUGCCUCAGAAGAAGUGGAGGGGAACAUGAUAUGGCAAAUGGAGACUCAUGGGACUGGUCUCUUACCCUCUCCCUGCACUCUACUCUAUUCCCAAGGUCAAGUACUCAAC